UUGGAGGGCAAGUCUGGUGCCAGCAGCCGCGGUAAUUCCAGCUCCAAUAGCGUAUAUUAAAGUUGUUGCAGUUAAAAAGCUCGUAGUUGAAUUUCAGGCCUGGCUGGACGGUCCGCCCUUCGGGUGAGUACUGUCUGUGGUCGGGUCCUACCUUCUGGCGAAGCGUCAUGGCCUUAACCGGCCGUGGCGGGGAACCAGGACUUUUACUGUGAAAAAAUUAGAGUGUUCAAAGCAGGCAAUCGCUUGGAUACAUUAGCAUGGAAUAAUGGAAUAGGACAAUGGUUCUAUUUGUUGGUUUCUAGGACCGUUGUAAUGAUUAAUAGGGAUUGUUGGGGGCAUUAGUAUUCAAUUGUCAGAGGUGAAAUUCUUGGAUUUAUUGAAGACUAACUACUGCGAAAGCAUUUGCCAAGGAUGUUUUCAUUAAUCAAGAACGAAAGUUAGGGGAUCGAAGACGAUCAGAUACCGUCGUAGUCUUAACCAUAAACUAUGCCGACUAGGAAUCGGGCGAUGUUGACAAAAUGACGCGCUCGGCACCUCAUGGGAAAC
rnacentral:rRNA from 1 species